rnacentral:misc_RNA from 1 species
GUUUAUCUUUUGUUCCUCUGGGAGAGCUGUCUAAAGCAAGGCAAACACAUGCACAGGAACUGAGCAUUCUGGCCAAACACAAAUACCUGCACAGCCCUCCGCUCCGUCUAAUGGCUUCUUCCGGAAAGUAUUCCAGAGUUCAACAGGAGCGACCUCUGACGGCGAAUGUUCGACAUUGCCCUCAACACCAGCUGGAGUGGAUAUGAGGAGACGACGAGAGCAAGGACUGGCCUGAGGUUUGAGCCUGGUCAGCAAUGAACUACAGCAGCGACAGCGCCGACCCAGACUCUAGCCACGCCGACGACGACCUCUGCCACGCGGCAGACAAGGUCGUCAAAUGGAUGUGGUCCACCAUCGCUCCCUUCAUCAUCAUCAUCGGGUUGCUAGGCAACCUCCUCGUCAUCAUCGUCUUCGAGCGCCUGCACUUCCGGAAGUCGAGCACCCUGCUGCACAUGUUCGUGCUGGCCUUCAACGACAGCGUCAUCCUGUGUCUGGGUCCCGUGAGAUACUGGACUAAGGAGGUCUUCCAGUUCGACCUGGCCACCAUCUCCGACUUCGGAUGCAGGCUGAACUUCUUCGUCCUCUACACCUCUCUGGAUUUCUCGGCGUGGAUUUUGGUGUCCGUGUCCGUGGAGAGGGUCGUCAGUGUUCACAAACCACUCCACGCGCGGAUAUGGUUCACCGUGAACCGAGCGCUGAUACGACUGGUGAUCAUAUUUGUGUUGCUGUGUGGCAUCAACAUGCAUUUCUUUUUCACCAACGGACUGGUCUCAAGUUUCAAUUCCACCUCUUCCGACAACAACACCGGAAUCAACACAACAACAACAGCAACAACAGACGAUUCACAGAGGUGUGAUUCUCUACCAGAGUUCUCCGUGUUCAAUAAUUACUACUUCGUGUGGAUCGACCUCUUCUUCGAUUCCCUUUUUCCGUUUGUAUUGAUGGCCUUGUCAAACUGCUUUAUCGUUAAAUCUUUACGCGAAUCAAAAAGAAACCGCCCUCGGACGACGACUAGACGAGCCCUGCAGCAGCACAUCGGUCGGGGUCACAGGGUCGAGGAGACAUCCAUGUCUCAGGAUGGGUUCGAGUCGGAGGAUCAAGCGGUGCCUCAGCCCAACGGACACGCAGUCGGUGAAGUGUACGAGUCCGGGGCUUAUGAACAGUCCAGGUCCUCGGAUGGCGACGACGCUUUUGAAAACGAGAGAGAGGCAGUGACCUCUGACGUCAGAGGCUCGGAGGGCGUGAGUAGUAGUGGUCAUUCUGCAGCACCGGAACAAACUCUGGAGGAUGCUCUGUCAAGAGGAGGUAAUCACAUCCGCAUGGAGGCCGACGUCCAUGCGAGAAACGACAUGGUUCUUGACAGGGGAGGCGACUUGCAUACAGGAAGGCCGACAACCAAUGUCAGACUGACUAGGCAGCAUGAGCCACUCGCGAAGCCCGUGCCAGUCAUCUCGUGGGGCGUGACCCGGAUGCUGGUGUUGGUCACGACAAUAUUUUUGGUGACGACGCUGCCAAACUCUAUUUACUACAUCAUCGACACUUUCCUGUACGACUACAGCGCCACCUGCUCCCGCACCAACGCCAUCAUGAACAUGGUGAAGGUGGUGACCAACCUCCUGCAGUACAGCAACUACGGCAUCAACUUCUGGCUGUACUCGUCGCGCAGCAACCGCUUCCGCAUGGAAGUCAAGUACAUGCUAGGAAUGGUGGGCAGCAGGUGAAGAAAGUUGUUAUUACACGCACUCACUGACACACAGACAGAGAGACAGAUAAAGAGAGAGAGAGACAGAAAGACAGAAAGACAAAAGUGGACAGAUGGACGCCAGGACGAUUAAGGAAAGGAAAAAUAAAGGAAAGAAACAGGCAGUUAGCUAAGUCACUGUGACGAAUAGAGAUGAAAAUCAAAGAAAAGGAGAAAAAGAAAGUGAUUGGUAAAUUCAGGCAGGAGUAGGUUUGUUUAUCUACGGCUCGACACAUUGCAUCCACAACCAACAAUCAUUCGUCCAAAGACGGACAACGCACACGUCCGUCUCUUGCGACGGUGUAGUGUACGAGGAUAUCUUUGCCAGAAGUCAGCUAGAAGUUCCGACGUCACUUCAAGUCCUCAAUACUCAGCGGCACGGCCAGCGCCCCCCACUUCCGGUCUCAACUGAGACAGGAGGCCAGCGGGUCGGACCGACAGACCAGCUCGGUCAAGUCUAAGGGCUCAACCAAAGACAGG